GGACCGGGAGCCGCUCAGGGCGAGGAUCGUGUUUCCCUCCCCUUUGUUCCCGCGAUGCUCAGCGCGGAGCCGGGCUCUGAGGGACUGACUUCUCUUUGGUGUAAUUGUCGCAGAGCCGCGUGAGCGAAACGGCGGAAGGAUCCGGGAGGCGCCCUGGCGGCCCCAAUGAGAAAGGCCGGUUUUCCUCCUGGGCUGCAAUGACGUCAUGGAGUUAACCUGCAUUUGGGGCGGGUCCUUAAGGUUGGAACAGUAGGUCUAAAAUCAAACAGACAACCCCAAAUCUGGACAUUUCUUUGGAGGAAUUAUGCCAGGCAAGUCUUAUAAGGGAUGGUAUCUUGGACUGUGAGUUGAGUCAAAUGUGCAAUUGUGGCACCCAGCUAGUGAGGAAAUAAUAAUGAACGUAAUGAAUGUGGCAAGACUUUCAGCCACGAGACAUGUCUUACUCAGUACAGGAAAAUCUGUAUGGGAGAGAAACUUUAUGACUCUAAUGACUGUGGGAAGGCAUUCUGCUGGAAGAUAGACUUCAUUUGACAUCAGAUGAUCCAUACUGUGAAAGAUCUUAAGAAUGUAAUGACUAUGGGAAGACUUUCUGCCUGACUACAGCUCUUAAUUUGCAUUGAAGAAUUUUUAUUGUAGAGAAACCUUAUUAGUGUAAUAAAUGCUGUAAGGCCUUGUGCCUGAUCAAAGAACUUACUCAAAAAUCAAAAGAUUCAUACUGGAGACAAAUCUUAUAAGUGCAAUGAGUGUAGAGAGCUUUCCUUCACAAGAGAGACCUCACUUGACAUUAGAAUAUUGUCACUAGAGAUAAACCUUGGCAAGGUGUUCCGCCAUAGUAUGUUCUGAUCGGGCAUCAAUCUGGAGAGAAGCCUUAGGAAUGUAAGCGAUGUGGGAAGUCUUUUGCUUGGAAGAAGUAGGAUAUGAAGUAUACCCUAAGGUGCUCACAGUGCAAAAACUGUCCCUAAGGACAGAGAUGCUAAAGACCUUAAAUGACUUUCAGAAGUUGAUAGGAGACAUCCAAUGGAUGCGUCCAGUGUUAGGAUUGACUACCUAUCAGUUACAGCCAUUAUGUGACAUUUUAAGGGGAGACAGUGCUUUAAACUCACCAUGCCAGCUUACAAAAGAAGCUCAAGAGGAUUUGAGAGAAGUUGAACUUUUUGGUUGAAAGUCACUCAAAAACCCUUGGAACUAUCAGUUUUUACUACAGAGGAGGCACCCAGGGCAGUCCUUCACCAAGCAGAGAGCGUGAUAGAGUGGGUGACUCUCCCAAAAAAAACCAAAACAAACUCUUACUCUUUACCCAGUGCUUGUGGC